ensembl:lncRNA
GCCCUCUCUCUCCUCCCUCCUGUCUUUUGUGAGGCUAGGGAUUGAACCAGCACUCUACCACUGAGCUACACCCCAGCCCUUUUUAUUUAUUUUUUAUUUUGAGACAGGAUCGCAUGGUGUUGCCCAGGUUGAAUUUGCAAUCCUCCUGCGUCAGCCUCCCAAGAAACUGGAGUAACAGGUGUAUGCCACCAGGUCCAGCUUGCCUUAACCGUUCCUGAGUGCACCAUUCAGGGCACAAAGCACCGUCUGUCCGAAGAACUUCACCUUGCAGUCAUGCUGGGCACAAAGCUGAAACUGCGGCCAGAACUGGAUAUUGAAAAGGUCCAGCUGCACCUGCUGGUCCAGCUCCAGGCAGCCUGUCUGCUCUGUCCACCUGCCCGGUACCUACUCCACACCUUCUGGACCCGUGUACCUCACAAGAAGUCUUCAAGUCAGGUAUCAAACUCCAGACCUUGGGCUUGUGAGGCAGGUGGUGGAACCACUGAGCUAAAUCCUGGGCCCUAACAUUUCUAAUUUUUUUUGUUUUGUUUUUUUGGUACGAGGGAUUGAAUUCAGGACCUUGCGCUUGCAAGGCAGGCUCCGGAACCACUGAGUUAAAUCCCUGGCCCAACAUUUCUAAUGUUAAACCAGCCAUCGUUCCUGGGAUAAACCCAUCAUGGUUUAGUAUCUUUUGGAUGCCUUUUUUUGGGCUCAGUUUGCCUGUUUUUGUUAAGAAUUUCUGCAUCUAUCCAAGUAUAGUGGUGCACAGGAAGAUCACAAGUUUGAGGCCAGCCUGAGCAACUUAACCAUCCCAUGUCUCAAAGUUUAAAACUAAAAAAAAAACAGUUCUGGGCCGGGGAUUUAGCUCAGUGGUUCCACUGCCUGCCUUGCAACCGCAAGGACCCAAGUUCAAUCCCUGGUACCAAAAGAAUAAAUAAAUAAAUUUUUAAAAAUAAAAAGGUCCUGGGAUAUAGCUUAGUGGUAGAGUGCCCCUGGGUUCAAUCCCAGUAGCAGAGGAGGGCAAUUUCUGCACGUGUGUGACAGGUUUGUCAUUGUCUUUUCUCAUAAUGCUUGUUUGUUUUGGGCAUCAGAAUAAUGCUUGCUUCAUAAAAUGAGUUUGGAAUUAUUCCUUCCUUCUCAGUUUUCUGAAAGAGAUUGUGUGGAACUGGUGUUAUUUUAAUUACAGAUUCAAUUCCUUGAAUGUGGAGCUAUCCAGGGUCCCCCUUUCUUUUUGAUGAGCAAUAGAGGUUUGUAUUUCACAGAGCUCAUCCAUUUACUCUAAGUUCGCACACUUCCUGGCUUAGAGUUGCUCCUGAUAGUCCCUGAUUGCCCUUCUGCGCUGGACUCUGCGAUGCCCCUUCUUCCACUCCCAGUGUCACUGAUCUGUGACUUUCACUGUGGUGACCCCAUGAUCCAUGUGGCUCCUCGGUCGGUCUCUAUGGCCCAGUUUUCUCCGUGUUGUGGUCCCUACCCUUCCUCCCUGUGUGCUGAGGACCCUGCCCUGGUGACAGGCACUGUGGCUCUGACCUGCAGGGAGCUGGUUUUCCCUGGACUCUGGGCCGUGUCCUGUGUGCAGGUUUCCUGGGAGCAGCGAGCCUUGCGCUUCCUUUCAGCCUUGCCCAGUGGGACCAGGGCAGCGUGGAAUCCGGGGGCAGCAGCAUGCUGCAUCAGCGGCACGGGCCUCGUCUGGCAAUCGACGCCCUGCAAAGGAGGGUGUUUUCAAGCUCGAGCUUUGGGAGCAGGGGUUCAUGUCUGGUGUGAGGCCUGGUAACAUUUCUCUCCCACCUUGGGGGGUGACUUCCUCGGCGCUGGGCGGCUCCCCAUGCCCCAUGCUGGCUGAGGUCCAGGUAGGUUCUCAGGGGCCCUUGCUGGGUGCGUGUUCGGGCUCCGUGCUGCUUACCACACACCGGGCAUGGGGCUUCCAUGCCCUUUCCCAGCCUGGUCACUGCCUCAAGUGGCAGUGCCCAGUCCUUAGGAAUUCCUGGGGGAGAGUGAGCUUGGGCCUGCUACUCUAGAGCAUCACCUUUCUACUAAAGCCAUCCACACGUAUUCAUGUCCGGGUGAUGGGGUUCGCUGUGAUAGUCCCACACAUGCACACGCUGUCCUUUGAUCAUGUUUGUCCACCUCAGGAAGAGGCAUAUUUAAUGACUUCGAGAACAAGAAUGGAGCAGCUGUUGGCACCACUUCCACAGCACACCGGGAUCCCAGUCGGGCAAGAAGUCCAAAGUAUGAGAGUUGGUACCGUGAAAAAAGGCUGUUUCCAAACAUGAGUUUGUACGUAGGAAACACCUACAGGAAGCUGUUGGAAUUAGCAGGAUGUGAAAAUCGCUCGGGAUAAGGGAAGAGAUUGGCCGGUCUGACUCAGACCAAUAACUUCUGUGCAAGCAAGGACAUCUGUGAGGCCCAGAAGCACUGUUUGCUGCACACCACUUACAGCUCUGCACUGGAGCAGAAAGCACUCACACGAGACCCCCAAAGCAAACACACAGCAGAAGACGAGCCAGUCUGCAUGUGAGCAGGACCUGGGCCACACUCCCCAGAGCACCUGAACAACUGCUCAGCACAACCCGCCAGGGAGAUGCAAACUAAACCAUGAAGAAAGAUCCCCGACCCAUCAGCCAGCACGCCGGGCUGGCACAGUGGGCGUGGCUCAGACCCAGAGCAGCACAAAGGUACCCUGCCCGAGCAGGGAUCGAACUCAGGACCUUGUGCUUUCAAGGAAGGCGGCAGAACCACUGAGCUAAAUCCCCAGCCCUCAGAAAAGCAUAUCUCAAGGAAACCGGGCCAACCACGAGGAGCCAGGAGCUCCCUGCCGGUGCUGGUGCUGUGUCGGAAGCACUCCUGAGCCGCCUCCUGAGGGGCUUUGCCUUGAGGCUCCUGACCUGGUCUCUCAUUCUGCAGAGGCAACUGGUGACCUAAGGAACGAACUGUUCUGAGCACAGCUUUGAACCUGUCCUGCGUCCUCCCAGCCACACAGUCUCCUCACUGCAUGCAUUGCCCCAUGGCCUGUGGCACCGUGGCGGCCCGUGUGGUUCCUCUGACACAGCAAGACAGGUUCCCUGGCAGCAUCAACAAGAUGUUCUGCCUGCUGUCUGCAUUUCUGCCUCGAACCUGGAGGGCCCGUUUCUCCUGAGCUCCGCUUCUUCUAGAUGUGGCAUGCGUCUGGAAGCGGCCAGGCCUGAGUCAUAUCCAGACCUUGGCCGUGGACAGUCAGGAGAGAUGUUUUACUUUAAAACAUAACGUGUACCAGAAGUUCACAGAAGCUUUCUCUUCAGGCCUGCGCUUUUUUUGCUUCAUCUUCUUAAUUUUAAUCUGUGUUUCCUUUUUCUCAGUUAAAACGCCUGAUACAUCA